rnacentral:rRNA from 1 species
GGUUAAGCGACUAAGCGUACACGGUGGAUGCCCUGGCAGUCAGAGGCGAUGAAGGACGUGCUAAUCUGCGAUAAGCGUCGGUAAGGUGAUAUGAACCGUUAUAACCGGCGAUUUCCGAAUGGGGAAACCCAGUGUGUUUCGACACACUAUCAUUAACUGAAUCCAUAGGUUAAUGAGGCGAACCGGGGGAACUGAAACAUCUAAGUACCCCGAGGAAAAGAAAUCAACCGAGAUUCCCCCAGUAGCGGCGAGCGAACGGGGAGGAGCCCAGAGCCUGAAUCAGUGUGUGUGUUAGUGGAAGCGUCUGGAAAGGCGCGCGAUACAGGGUGACAGCCCCGUACACAAAAAUGCACAUACUGUGAGCUCGAUGAGUAGGGCGGGACACGUGGUAUCCUGUCUGAAUAUGGGGGGACCAUCCUCCAAGGCUAAAUACUCCUGACUGACCGAUAGUGAACCAGUACCGUGAGGGAAAGGCGAAAAGAA